CCUACGGGGGGCAGCAGUAGGGAAUCUUUCACAAUGGGCGAAAGCCUGAUGGAGCAACGCCGCGUGCAGGAUGAAGGCCUUCGGGUUGUAAACUGCUUUUAUAAGAGAGAAAUAUGAUGGUAACUUAUGAAUAAGGAUCGGCUAACUACGUGCUAGCAGCCGCGGUCAUACGUAGGAUCCGAGCGUUAUCCGGAGUGACUGGGGGUAAAGAGUUGCGUAGGUGGCAUAAUAAGUAGAGAGUGGAAUCUGGUGGCUCAACCAUUCAGACUAUUAGCGAAACUGUUAGGCUCGAGACCAUUAGAGGUAAGUGGAAUUUCUAGUGUAGGGGUGAAAUGCGUAGAUAUUAGGAGGAACACCAAUAGCGAAGGCAGGUUACUGGAACGGUUCUGACACUGAGGCACGAAAGCGUAGGGAGCAAACGGGAUUAGAUACCCCUGUAGUC
rnacentral:rRNA from 1 species